rnacentral:lncRNA from 1 species
CUGCCCUCGAGGGGCCUAGAGCCCCGACGCGGGGUGGCUCGAGGCCCGCUGGUCGGGGUGGCGGAAGGCGAGCCGUUCUCCCCGUGGGGUAAGCCCUUUUGAUGUUGCGGUCUUUGUCCCCCCAUUCUUUCACCUUUCCUCACAUGCCGACUUUUUCUCAGGCUGAAACGGACCCUCGAGCAGGCCCAACCGUCAAUGGCCAAGAGGCUCAGAACGGGUGCCGCCUCCACGGAACCAGGUUCGUAGUUAAUUCCUGGGUGUCGCGAUAUUCUUACGUUGGUUAUCAUAACGUCUGACCCUU